GCCAAUGUGAUGUAGUGGUUUGAGCGUUAGACUGUGACUCUGGAGACAAGAGUUCAAAUCCCUGCUUGGCCA